CUUCGGUUUUGAGGAGAAAAAAAAUAAGGUUCCGAGGAGAAACCGCAGAUGAGGGCGAUGAUCAUAUGUUCUGAUUAAACCCAGAUAUUCAAUCUUCUCCGAAUCCCACUUCAAUUCAAUCUCUCUUUGAUUCAAUCUCUGUUCGUUAAAUUAGGUCUCCCAUUGAAAUUAGGGUGUCCCCAUUGAGUAAUUUAAACUUAUGAUUCAAUCUCUGUUCGUCAAAAUCUCUAAAUUGUUUCUUCAGUUCCACAAACCACUAAAUCGAACCCAAAGAAACACAACGGAAGGGUAUUGUUUAGUUUAAUCUGAUUUAAUCAGAAACAACAUCAAAUAGUUAACAAAAAUGACGAUCUGAUAAUGCGAAGAGUUCUGAGAAGUUGAAGAUGAAUACAAAUACAACUGAUGUGGUUUAUGAAGAGAAAGAAUGGGGUAGAUCAGGAAGAUGUUAAAGAAACAGAUUUUGAAACAUCCAGUUAGAGAACCGAAACGAUGGGAAUUGAUUACUGAAGCGUUUCAACGUAGGCAUGAAUUUUGAAAGUGUGAUUAAAAUGGGGAUACCAUGAGAUAAGAAAUUGGCGAGAAACUCAAAUGAGGAUUCCGAAUUGAUUAACGGAGACAAGAAAGAAUACAAAUUUGAAUGAGGAUUUCAAAGGAUGGGAGAAGAUUGCAGCUCAAGAUGAUUAGUUCCUCUUGAGAAUUGAUAAGAAUCUGCGGUAUCCCUUAGUGAAUUCAAUUUGAAUUUCCAAUGAAUGUGUAUUUAAUUUUGUGCUUUUCUUGACACAGUUGAAUUUCUGAGCUCUAACUGUUUGUAGAAAUGUCAAACAUAUUUUUCUCAUACUCAGGAAUCACUUUAGCAGUGGGGAAGUGAAGAUUGACGAGGGUUGCAAUGUCAGCCACCAUUUGGACAGCUCGGAACUUAAGUGGUCAUUGUCUGAAAAUCACCCUUUGGGACAACUCAUUUCUUGAGCUCAGUUUUAGCUUUGGAGAUCAUGGAAAUCGCCAACCACCCAUUGUUGUUUUUGUCUCCAGAACAUGUGCUAUAAUGGACCAGGCUUUCUCGGUUCCUAUUUAUCUUUCCAUUUUAUCAGAGGUUGCAUCAGUGCGGGCGAAAGCUUAUCAAAGAAGUAUGGCCAAGAUUUGGAUUUAGAGCGCUUUUCUUCUUUGAUCUCAUAUGAGCCUACCAAGGUCUUGCUGUACACAAGCAUUGUAUUUUCAUUUGUUAUUGUAAGUUCAAAAAUCACGUCUUACACUGUCGUAACAUUACUGUUCUAAUUUUAUCAAGCAUCUAAUCCUACAGGCAAGUUGUGAGGUUGCUUGGUAUAAUGUUAGGCUUCCCAUACUUCUGCCAUAAAUGGAAAAAUAGCACAUACUAUAUUUUUGUA